UCAAACUAUAUUGCCUACACAUAACCCAAGAUAUUUGUCAUAGCCUGUCCUCCUUAGCCCAAUACUGUUGCAGUUGUAGCCUAGCACUGUAGAUUGUAUGUGGUAUGACACUGUAGUAACCCGAGAAUUCCUUUGAAACUUCAACCCUUUCUCUUCCAAUUCCACCUUGAUUCUUGAACUGCGAACCCCAGUCUUUUCUCUAUUCAUCUUCUUCCUUUUGUGGUUAAAGAUCUAUAAAAGUAAGUAGGAGGAGCAGAAGCAAGGAUACGGCCCUACCACUGUAGUAGUGGUCCCCAUGGUCCAUCCUACAAAGAGGUGGCAUGGAUGACCAGUUAUUUAUCCCCUUCAAGAGCCGCGUAGAGAGCUUGAGAGGGUAGUGGAAGAUCCCACACAAAAUUCUGAGACACAGUGGCCACCGCAUAGGAUCUCAGAGGCCAACGUGAACAAAGGCAAUUAUUUUGUUACACUGAAAAGAAAUAACUUUGGCGAUUCCUAACUUAGUCGCUGUCAAGGCUAAAUUCAGAGAUGAUUUUGUUAGCUGGCCCAAAGAUUAAAUUUUCUACAUAGGCCUUGAACUCUAUUUGCUAUAUAUGUAUAUAGUUUUGAGCUUUAUAUCUUUACUGGGAAAUUAUGUUAUGUUUUAUUUUGGGAUGGUAUCUACAAGUUUAUAUUUGAGCUAUGUUUUCUACGUCAAUAUUAACAAGUGUUUGUAAAGUUUUGCAUUAGAAACUUAUGUGUAUAUUCAUACAUGCACUUUGCAUUAUGCCUUACCCUUACUUACCAUGUUCAUACUUGUAUAUUGUAAUUAUUUGACAUUUUGGAAAGGUAUGAAUAACCCUCUUUUGUA